CCGGGAAGGGGCACGGUCGCGCCCGGGGAGACCCGGGUGAGGAAAGUCCGGGCACCGCAGGGCAGGAUGCCAGCUAACGGCUGGGCGGCGAGCGUACGGCGGUCAGGCGAGGCGGAAGCCGAGCCGAGCCGACAUGCGCGAAGCCGACGGAAAGUGCCACAGAAACCAGACCGCCUUUCCGGACGGCGCCCGCGUGGGCGUACGCGGAAGGGUAAGGGUGAAACGGUGCGGUAAGAGCGCACCAGUCCCCGGGGAGACCCGGGGAGCUGGUAAACCCCAUCCGGUGCAAGGCCCGACAGUGGAGGAGAGGCGGCCCGCCUCGAUGAUCCCCAGGAUGGCCGCUCGAGGCGCGCGGUGACGUGCGUCCCAGAUAGAUGAUCGUGACCCCGCGCAAGCGGGGGACAGAACCCGGCUUACCACCUUCCCGGCCCG
rnacentral:RNase_P_RNA from 1 species